rnacentral:rRNA from 1 species
CUGAAUAACUACGCUGAUCGCACGGUCUCGUACCGGCGACGUAUCCUUCAAGUGUCUGCCUUAUCAACUUUCGAUGGUAGUCUAUAAGCCUACCAUGGUUGUAACGGGUAACGGAGAAUAAGGGUUCGACUCCGGAGAGGGAGCCUGAGAAACGGCUACCACUUCCAAGGAAGGCAGCAGGCGCGCAAAUUACCCACUCUCAGAACGAGGAGGUAGUGACGAAAAAUAACGAGACAGUUCUCUAUGAGGUCUGUCAUCGGAAUGGGUACAAUCUAAACCCUUUAACGAGGAUCUAUUGGAGGGCAAGUCUGGUGCCAGCAGCCGCGGUAAUUCCAGCUCCAAUAGCGUAUAUUUAAAGUUGUUGCGGUUAAAAAG